UACGUAGGUGGCAAGCGUUGUCCGGAUUUACUGGGCGUAAAGAGCGCGCAGGCGGUCGUUCAAGUCGCGUGUGAAAGCCCCCGGCUCAACUGGGGAGGGUCACGCGAUACUGAUCGACUCGAAGGCAGGAGAGGGUAGUGGAAUUCCCGGUGUAGUGGUGAAAUGCGUAGAUAUCGGGAGGAACACCAGUGGCGAAGGCGGCCACCUGGACCGUCCCUGACGCUCAAACACGAAAGCUAGAGUAGCGAACGGG
rnacentral:rRNA from 1 species